AGGUUGGACUUUGGGGGGAUCCUCUG
rnacentral:piRNA from 1 species